UGGAUCCACACUUUGAUUAUGGCUCAGGAUGAACGCUAGCGGCAGGCUUAACACAUGCAAGUCGAGGGGCAGCGGGGGCGAAGCUUGCUUCGCCCGCCGGCGACCGGCGCACGGGUGAGUAACACGUAUGCAACCUGCCCCCUGCGGGGGGACAACCUUCCGAAAGGGAGGCUAAUCCCGCGUACAUCCCUCCGGGGCAUCCCGGGGGGAGGAAAGGCUUCGGCCGGCAGGGGAUGGGCAUGCGUCGCAUUAGGAAGACGGCGGGGCAACGGCCCACCGUUCCGACGAUGCGUAGGGGUUCUGAGAGGAAGGCCCCCCACACUGGUACUGAGACACGGACCAGACUCCUACGGGAGGCAGCAGUGAGGAAUAUUGGUCAAUGGCCGGAAGGCUGAACCAGCCAAGCCGCGUGGAGGAAGAAGGCGCAGAGCGUCGCAGACUCCUUUUGUCGGGGGACAAACGGCCGCACGUGUGCGGCUCUGAGGGUACCCGAAGAAAAAGCAUCGGCUAACUCCGUGCCAGCAGCCGCGGUAAUACGGAGGAUGCGAGCGUUAUCCGGAUUCAUUGGGUUUAAAGGGUGCGUAGGCGGCGUCUUAAGCCGGCGGUGAAAUCGCGGGGCUCAACCCCGCCGAGCCGUCGGAACUGGGAUGCUCGAGUGUCGGCGAGGCAUGCGGAAUGCGCGGUGUAGCGGUGAAACGCAUAGAUAUCGCGCAGAACCCCGAUUGCGAAGGCAGCGUGCCAGCCGCCCACUGACGCUGAGGCACGAAAGCGCGGGUAUCGAACAGGAUUAGAUACCCUGGUAGUCCGCGCAGUAAACGAUGGAUGCUGGGUGUCCGGGGCGAUCAGGCCCUGGGUGCCGGAGCGAAAGCGGUAAGCAUCCCACCUGGGGAGUACGCCGGCAACGGUGCAACUCAAAGGAAUUGACGGA
rnacentral:rRNA from 1 species